GACGAACGCUGGCGGCGUGCUUAACACAUGCAAGUCGAACGGAAAGGCCCUGCUUUUGUGGGGUGCUCGAGUGGCGAACGGGUGAGUAACACGUGAGUAACCUGCCCUUGACUUUGGGAUAACUUCAGGAAACUGGGGCUACUACCGGAUAGGAGCUCCUGCUGCAUGGUGGGGGUUGGAAAGUUUCGGCGGUUGGGGAUGGACUCGCGGCUUAUCAGCUUGUUGGUGGGGUAGUGGCUUACCAAGGCUUUGACGGGUAGCCGGCCUGAGAGGGUGACCGGCCACAUUGGGACUGAGAUACGGCCCGGACUCCUACGGGAGGCAGCAGUGGGGAAUAUUGCACAAUGGGCGGAAGCCUGAUGCAGCAACGCCGCGUGCGGGAUAACGGCCUUCGGGUUGUAAACCGCUUUCGCCUGUGACGAAGCGUGAGUGACGGUAAUGGGUAAAGAAGCACCGGCUAACUACGUG
rnacentral:rRNA from 1 species